ACUCCCAUGGUUAGCGACUUCCUA
rnacentral:siRNA from 1 species